rnacentral:rRNA from 1 species
UAGGCUGCAACUCGCCUACAUGAAGCUGGAAUUGCUAGUAAUCACAGGUCAGCAUACUGUGGUGAAUACGUUCCCGGGCCUUGUACACACCGCCCGUCACACCAUGAGAGUUGAGAAUACCCGAAGUCCAUGUCAAAGUGGCCGAAGGUAGGCUUGAUGAUUGGGGUGAAGUCGUAACAAGGUAAC